AUGAACGCUAGCUACAGGCUUAACACAUGCAAGUCGCAGGGUAACAUGAGGAAAGCUUGCUUUCCUUGAUGACGACUGGCGCACGGGUGAGUAACGCGUAUCCAACCUUCCCAUAACUACGGGAUAACCCGUUGAAAGACGGCCUAAUACCGUAUGAUAUCGUUUGCUGACAUCAAAUAACGAUUAAAGGUUUAGCGGUUAUGGAUGGGGAUGCGUCUGAUUAGCUUGUUGGCGGGGUAACGGCCCACCAAGGCGACGAUCAGUAGGGGUUCUGAGAGGAAGGUCCCCCACAUUGGAACUGAGACACGGUCCAAACUCCUACGGGAGGCAGCAGUGAGGAAUAUUGGUCAAUGGGCGAGAGCCUGAACCAGCCAAGUAGCGUGCAGGACGACGGCCCUAUGGGUUGUAAACUGCUUUUAUGUGGGGAUAAAGUGCGUGACGUGUCAUGCAUUGCAGGUACCACAUGAAUAAGGACCGGCUAAUUCCGUG
rnacentral:rRNA from 1 species